rnacentral:misc_RNA from 1 species
GGGAAUAAUUCUGUUAACAAAUUGAAUAGAGAAAUAAGGUAAAAUCAAAUAAUGAAGAACUAGACAGAGAAACAUAAUUUGUUUAAACAUAAUUUGUUUAAACAUAAAGUUCCCAUGAAGCCAGGAUUAGACCAACUAUAUUCUAUUGAAGAAAAAUGUUCCAAGAAUAACCAUUUGUGAAAACUGAAAACAAGGAUGUUAAGAU